AGAGUUUGAUCCUGGCUCAGAAUGAACGCUGGCGGCGUGCCUUACACAUGCAAGUCGAGCGAGGCGGGGUAGCAAUACCCCAGUCGAGCGGCGAACGGGUGAGUAACACGUGGGUGACCUACCUCAAGGUGGGGGAUAACCCGGGGAAACUCGGGCUAAUACCGCAUGACAUCGAGAGAUCAAAGCAGGCGAAAGCUUGCGCCAUGAGAGGGGCCCGCGUCUGAUUAGCUAGUUGGUGAGGUAACGGCUCACCAAGGCGACGAUCAGUAGCCGGCCUGAGAGGGCGAUCGGCCACACUGGAACUGAGACACGGUCCAGACUCCUACGGGAGGCAGCAGUGGGGAAUUUUGCGCAAUGGGGGAAACCCUGACGCAGCAACGCCGCGUGGAGGAUGAAGGUCCUUGGAUUGUAAACUCCUGUCAGCAGGGAAGAAGGCCUUACGGUGAAUAUCCGUAAGGAUUGACGGUACCUGCAGAGGAAGCCCCGGCUAACUCUGUGCCAGCAGCCGCGGUAAUACAGAGGGGGCAAGCGUUAUUCGGAAUUAUUGGGCGUAAAGGGCGCGUAGGCGGCUUCGCAAGUGGUGGGUGAAAUCCCUCGGCUUAACCGAGGAACUGCCCUCCAAACUGCGUUGCUUGAGUCCGGGAGAGGUGAGUGGAAUUCCCAGUGUAGCGGUGAAAUGCGUAGAUAUUGGGAGGAACACCAGUGGCGAAGGCGGCUCACUGGACCGGAACUGACGCUGAGGCGCGAAAGCGUGGGGAGCAAACGGGAUUAGAUACCCCCGUAGUCC
rnacentral:rRNA from 1 species